CAGAGGGUGCAAACGUUGCUCGGAAUUACUGGGCGUAAAGCGCGUGUAGGCGGUCACGCAAGUCAGGUGUGAAAGCCCAGGGCUCAACCCUGGAAGUGCACAUGAUACUACGUGGCUGGAGUACUGAAGAGGAGAGCGGAAUUCCCGGUGUAGAGGUGAAAUUCGUAGAUAUCGGGAGGAACACCAGUGGCGAAGGCGGCUCUCUGGGCAGAUACUGACGCUGAGACGCGAAAGCGUGGGUAGCAAACAGGAUUAGAUACCCUGGUAGUCCACGCUGUAAACGAUGAGAACUGGGUGUCGUGGAUAUUGACCCCCGCGGUGCCGAAGCCAACGCGUUAAGUUCUCCGCCUGGGAAGUACGGCCGCAAGGCUA
rnacentral:rRNA from 1 species